rnacentral:rRNA from 1 species
GGACCCGCACAAGCAGCGGAGCAUGUGGUUUAAUUCGAAGCAACGCGAAGAACCUUACCAGGGCUUGACAUCCUCUUGCAAGUCCGGAUAACGCCGGACCCUCUUCGGACAAGAGAGACAGGUGGUGCAUGGUUGUCGUCAGCUCGUGUCGUGAGAUGUUGGGUUAAGUCCCGCAACGAGCGCAACCCUUGUCAUUAGUUGCCAUCAGGUGAUGCUGGGCACUCUAGUGAGACCGCCGGGGACAACUCGGAGGAAGGUGGGG